GCGUAACACGUGGGUAAUCUGCCCUUCGAAGGGGAAUAACUCGCCGAAAGGCGAGCUAAUUCCGCAUAACAUUCCGAGAACCUUGGUUUUUGGAUUCAAAGGCGUAAGUCGUCGGAGGAGGAGCCCGCGCACGAUUAGCUAGUUGGUACGGUAACGGCCUACCAAGGCUAUGAUCGUUACCUGGUCUGAGAGGAUGGCCAGCCACACUGGAACUGAGACACGGUCCAGACUCCUACGGGAGGCAGCAGUGGGGAAUCUUGCACAAUGGGCGAAAGCCUGAUGCAGCGACGCCGCGUGGGGGAUGAAGCUUCUCCGAGUGUAAACCCCUUU
rnacentral:rRNA from 1 species